CCUACGGGAGGCAGCAGUGGGGAAUUUUGGACAAUGGGCGCAAGCCUGAUCCAGCAAUGCCGCGUGAGUGAAGAAGGCCUUCGGGUUGUAAAGCUCUUUUGUCAGGGAAGAAACGGCUGAGGAUAAUACCUUUGGCUAAUGACGGUACCUGAAGAAUAAGCACCGGCUAACUACGUGCCAGCAGCCGCGGUAAUACGUAGGGUGCAAGCGUUAAUCGGAAUUACUGGGCGUAAAGCGUGCGCAGGCGGUUUUGUAAGUCUGACGUGAAAUCCCCGGGCUCAACCUGGGAAUUGCGUUGGAGACUGCAAGGCUGGAGUCUGGCAGAGGGGGGUAGAAUUCCACGUGUAGCAGUGAAAUGCGUAGAGAUGUGGAGGAACACCGAUGGCGAAGGCAGCCCCCUGGGUCAAGACUGACGCUCAUGCACGAAAGCGUGGGGAGCAAACAGGAUUAGAUACCCUGGUAGUCCACGCCCUAAACCGAUGUCUACUAGUUGUCGGGUCUUAAUUGACUUGGUAACGCAGCUAACGCGUGAAGUAGACCGCCUGGGGAGUACGGUCGCAAGAUUAAAAACUUAAAGGAAAUUAGACGG
rnacentral:rRNA from 1 species